UAUGUGCUUCAAUGCCAUUUGAUGCAAAAUUUGGAAGCUCUGCAUACCAUUAAAAGUUAAAGUGUUCUGUUGGCUUGUCCUCAAGAAGAGACCUCUUACUGUAGAUAAUUUAUUAAAAAGAGGAUGGAUAGGCAAUACGAAUUGUGUGCUGUGUUGGUCUGAUAUGGAAACAGUAGACCACCUUUUUUCUCAAUGUGUAUUCUUCAAAUUUCUUAUGGUGAUGUCAUUGGAGGAUGUCCAAGCAGGAGAUUUGGCCGAAGAUAUGCAUAUGGUUUGGGACAGACGGAGUGGAAGGAUGGGGUCUCAGUCCAUGAGCGAUGGUUUAGCUGGACUAAUUGCCUGUUGGUGGGUUAUUUGGGAGACCAGGAAUGGUGCGAUCUUUAGGAAGAAUCAGACCGAUCCAAUCCGUGGUUGCUAUAAGGUUAAACAGCUGACGUCCCUGUGGGGAAUCUUCGCCCUAUGAAGAAACACUGAUUUUUUUUUAAAAAAAAAAAAAUUUAAAGCCAGCCUUAACCAGUGAUCCAAAAACAGUAGAUCCAUAGCUUCCCGGGUGACCCAGUCGCAUAUGCAGUAGCUCCAGAUCGAUACCCCCAUGCACCCCAACCGAUGAGGCUAGAGAAAGCUCAAUGGGAAGAAGCACUAUGGAAAGAAGGGCUUGAAUCCCCAAACCAUUAUGGUUUAGACGCAGAUUUUUUUUUUUUUUUCUUCGUCUUUGUCUGGCUUUUCAUCUUUUUAGAGGCCUUGUUGCCUCACCCAUGUAGCUAAGUUCAUAUCCUGAAUGAAUGAAGCGGGUAACGUGCUACCUUUUUCUCAAAAAAAAAAAGAAAUGAUCGAAUUAUAAAGUAGGUGAUAUUUUAGUCCUCAAAUAUUUUAAUUACAGUAAUAUUCUACUUAAUAAUGUAAUAAUAAUUAAAAUAUUAUAUUAUUUUUGAUAUUAGCAAUCUAUCUAUACUUAUUUAAAAAAGAUUUAUGUUGUGAAACUUAGUUGUAAUAGUUCAAAAAGUUUGAGAACUAAAAUAUAACUAGUUAUAGUACGUGUGGGGUCUAAAAUAUUACGCAUCUCAGAGUGCGCAGAAAAAUUAUAACGAAUUAAAGUUUAAAGAGUAAAGUGUCACACACUUCAUAGCUUGAGAAUCAAAAGUGUAAUUUACCCUUAGGGCGCGUUUGGUUUGAGUUAUGUAAUAUUACAUAGUAUCUCGACGUAUUCAAAGUAUCUUGAAUUUCGGCGUGAGAUUACUAAUGAUACUGUAUUAGCGCGUUUGGUUUAAUACAGUAAUGUAAUACUGGAUUGCAAUAUUUAUAGCAUUACUACGUUUGGUUCAGUCUAUAAAAUUUAGUAAUCUUGACAUAAAAAUAUAGUUUUUUUAAAAAAAAUUAUCCUUUUGUGGUCAUUUGAAUAUUAUUUUUUACUAAAAUAUAAUUUGUACUAGUAAAUUAAUUAUAUUAAUAAGUAAUAAAAUAAAAAAACCAAACAUGAAAAAAAAUUAUGUUGCGAAAAAUUAAUUUCAACCCAUAAAAGAAUAAAUAGAAAAAAGAUCAUUACACAUAAAAGAAUAAAUAGGUGUUCGUGCGUGAGAGAGAGAGAGAGAGAGAGAGAGGGGGGGGUGGGUCGUGAGAGAGAUGAAAAUAAUGCUGUUACUUGGGUUUCGAAAGUUAAAGAGGUAAAAUUGUUAUUUUACAUAAUAUAUAGUAUUAUCGGUUUUCACUAAUGCAAGAUACACGACCCUCCUCUUGUUAAUAUUUUUAUUGUAAUCCUGCUCGAUUUGUAAUUUUAUUUUAACGACUAGAUUACAUAGCGGAUGAGCUAAACACAGUAAUUCUGGCAGAAUUAUCUGUAAUCCUGUUAGCAUAACCCGAACUGAACACACCCUUAAACAUAUAUA
rnacentral:lncRNA from 1 species